rnacentral:rRNA from 1 species
ACAUGCAUACAACAUAGCGUUAAUGCACCGUAUCCCAUUAGAACUCCGUAAUUAAGCACACUUAGGCUAGAGUAGUACUGAGAUGGGUGACAUCCUGGGAAGUUCUAGUGUUUUUCAUGCA